AUGCAACUGACGAGUCCUAAAUAGAACGAAACGCGCUUCCUGGAU
rnacentral:hammerhead_ribozyme from 1 species